AGUGAACGCUGGCGGUAGGCCUAACACAUGCAAGUCGAACGGCAGCACAGUCAGAGCUUGCUCUUACGGGUGGCGAGUGGCGGACGGGUGAGGAAUACAUCGGCAUCUACUUUUUCGUGGGGGAUAACGUAGGGAAACUUACGCUAAUACCGCAUACGACGUACGGGUGAAAGCAGGGGAUCUUCGGACCUUGCGCGAUUGAAUGAGCCGAUGUCGGAUUAGCUAGUUGGCGGGGUAAAGGCCCACCAAGGCGACGCUCCGUUGCUGGGCUGAGAGGAUGAUCAGCCACACUGGAAAUGAGACACGGGCCAGACUCCUACGGGAGGCAGCAGUGGGGAAUAUUGGACAAUGGGGGCAAGCCUGAUCCAGCCAUGCCGCGUGGGUGAAGAAGGCCUUCGGGUUGUAAAGCCCUUUUGUUGGGAAAGAAAAGCAGCAGGUUAAUACCCCGCUGUUCUGACGGUACCCAAAGAAUAAGCACCGGCUAACUUCGUG
rnacentral:rRNA from 1 species